AUCGCGUACGAAUCAAUGCAUUCUAGGAAAGAAUCGCGCGAUCUGUUCCCUACGAAAGUAGGUUGUACCUAUGUGAGCGGUGAGAUUUAAACGAGUGGGUAACGGGAAGAUAUUUUUUGAGAGCGCGAUCCAAGUGAUGUACGAUAUCUCUAGGUGGUUCCAGAACGUCUUCAGAAGAUAAAUGCUGGUGUAAGUGAGUUCAACGGACGCUGGCGGUAGCGGCGUCAAGAGACUUCUACAGACAUGAAUGGCGUUUUUGAACUUCUCGUCUCUCGCACAUUAAGUGCAAGGAUCUUAUUGCACCUGCGCACAAUAACGAUUGUCCUGAUAGCGGCGAGACGGACGAGUAGAAACGUGCGCUCUAACCGUAUCUUCUAAAUGAGUCUGGCUACACCACAUUACACAGGUCGAUUACUCGCGGCAUUCUUCUCGGAGACAGCUGUAAUAAAUUAGUGCCAGCACCCAGUACGCGUGUACAUGCUUGCACAACCCGAAAGGACCGUGCGUAUAUCGCGAGGCAGACGCGAGAACGCGAGACAGCACGAGAGAGAGAAGGAGAGCGAGGGGUA